AGAGUUUGAUCAUGGCUCAGAACGAACGCUGGCGGCGUGCUUAACACAUGCAAGUCGCGUGCGCAGUUCCUGUAGCAAUACGGGGAUGGGCGCACGGCGCACGGGUGCGUAACACGUGGGCAAUCUGCCCUCCGAUGGGGAAUAACCCCGCGAAAGCGGGGCUAAUUCCGCAUAACAUUCCUUGGACUCACGUUCGAGGAUUCAAAGCAGCAAUGCGUCGGAGGAGGAGCCCGCGCCCGAUUAGCUAGUUGGUGAGGUAACGGCUCACCAAGGCAAUGAUCGGUAGCUGGUCUGAGAGGAUGGCCAGCCACACUGGAACUGAGACACGGUCCAGACUCCUACGGGAGGCAGCAGUGGGGAAUCUUGCACAAUGGGCGAAAGCCUGAUGCAGCGACGCCGCGUGGGGGAUGAAGCUUCUCGGAGUGUAAACCCCUUUCGACUGGGACGAAUGCCUCGCAAGAGGAGUGACGGUACCAGUAUAAGAAGCCCCGGCUAACUACGUGCCAGCAGCCGCGGUAAGACGUAGGGGGCCAGCGUUGUUCGGAAUUACUGGGUGUAAAGGGUUCGUAGGCGGUGUGGCAAGUUGGGAGUGAAAUCUCUGGGCUCAACCCAGAGGCUGCCUCCAAAACUGCUGUGCUUGAGUGUGAGAGAGGCGCGUGGAAUUGCAGGUGUAGCGGUGAAAUGCGUAGAUAUCUGCAGGAACACCCGUGGCGAAAGCGGCGCGCUGGAUCACUACUGACGCUGAGGAACGAAAGCUAGGGGAGCAAACAGGAUUAGAUACCCUGGUAGUCCUAGCCCUAAACGAUCAGGACUUGGGGUGCCGCCCGUUCGGGCGUCGUCCCGGAGCUAACGCGUUAAGUCCUGCACCUGGGGAGUACGUCGCAAGACUGAAACUCAAAGGAAUUGACGGGGCCCGCACAAGCGGUGGAACAUGUGGUUCAAUUC
rnacentral:rRNA from 1 species